UACAGAGGUCUCAAGCGUUGUUCGGAUUCAUUGGGCGUAAAGGGUGCGUAGGCGGCGCGGUAAGUCGGGUGUGAAAUCUCGGGAGCUUAACUCCGAAACUGCAUUCGAUACUGCCGUGCUUGAGGACUGGAGAGGAGACUGGAAUUUACGGUGUAGCGGUGAAAUGCGUAGAUAUCGUAAGGAAGACCAGUGGCGAAGGCGGGUCUCUGGACAGUUCCUGACGCUGAGGCACGAAGGCCAGGGGGAGCAAACGGGG
rnacentral:rRNA from 1 species